CAGUCGCCGCGGUAAUACGUAGGGUGCAAGCGUUAAUCGGAAUUACUGGGCGUAAAGCGUGCGCAGGCGGUUAUAUAAGUCAGAUGUGAAAUCCCCGGGCUCAACCUGGGAACUGCAUUUGAGACUGUAUGGCUAGAGUGUGUCAGAGGGGGGUAGAAUUCCACGUGUAGCAGUGAAAUGCGUAGAUAUGUGGAGGAAUACCGAUGGCGAAGGCAGCCCCCUGGGAUAACACUGACGCUCAUGCACGAAAGCGUGGGGAGCGAACAGGAUUAGAUACCCGCGUAGUCCCUGUCUCUUAUAC
rnacentral:rRNA from 1 species